UGGGAUUAAAGCUGUGUCCACCACGGCCUG
rnacentral:piRNA from 1 species